GGAGUACCUGACUGUCCCUUCUGGCUCCGCGGGAUGUGUGCGCACACAGGAGCAGCAGAUCGUCACUCUCAAAGGCUAUGUACCCCACACAAAGCUGAAAGUAGUGACGCAGUGGAUGUAGAACUGAAUGAAUUUGACAAGCAACUGAGGAAGUUAAACAAGCACGGGCAAAAGGUGAUCUAGGCAUUGCUAUUGGUAAUUAUUAUAGACAUCUACUUCUAAUGAAGCACAAAGUUAAAA